UACGUAGGUGGCAAGCGUUGUCCGGAAUUACUGGGCGUAAAGGGUGUGCAGGCGGGGGGGCAAGUGGGGUAUGAAAUCUCCCAGCUUAACUGGGAUAGGUUAUGCCAGACUGCUACUCUAGAGGACGAGAGAGGGGCGUGGAAUUCCGGGUGGAGUGGUGAAAUGCGUAGAGAUCCGGAGGAACACCAGAGGCGAAGGCGGCCUACUGGGCUGCACCUGACGCUGAGCCGCGAAAGCCAGGGGAGCGAACGGG
rnacentral:rRNA from 1 species